rnacentral:tRNA from 1 species
CCCUGGGUGGUGCAAAUGGUUAACACUCUUGGUUGGUAACUAAAAGGUUGGAGGUUCAAGUCCACCCGCAGGCA